AGCAGCCGCGGUAAUUCCAGCUCCAAUAGCGUAUAUUAAAGUUGUUGCAGUUAAAAAGCUCGUAGUUGAAUUUCGGGGUUAGUAGGUUGGUCAUGCCUCUGGUAUGUACUGGUCUCACUGAUUCCUCCUUCCUGAUGAGCCGUAAUGCCAUUAAUUUGGUGUUGCGGGGAAUUUGGACAGUUACUUUGAAAAAAUUAGAGUGUUUAAAGCGGGCUUAGGCUUGAAUACAUUAGCAUGGAAUAAUGAAAUAGGACGUUUGAUCCUAUUUUGUUGGUUUCUAGGAUCGACGUAAUGAUUAAUAGGGAUAGUUGGGGGCAUUAGUAUUCAAUUGUCAGAGGUGAAAUUCUUGGAUUUAUUGAAGACUAACUACUGCGAAAGCAUUUGCCAAGGAUGUUUUCAUUAAUCAAGAACGAAAGUUAGGGGAUCGAAGACGAUCAGAUACCGUCGUAGUCUUAACCAUAAACUAUAGCCGACUAGGGAUCGGAUGAUGUUAAUUUUUUAAUGUACUCAUUCGGCGCCU
rnacentral:rRNA from 1 species